UCAAAUCAGACGGUAUAAACUCUGGACUUCUUUUACGCUUUCGUCAAUCGUUAGACGACGACAAUAUGUAUGUCAUUCCGCAUUGUAUCUUUGGGGUUCUUCUUUUAGUUCUUUCAACUUCAGGGGUCCGUGAUCAAACGAGCAAGAGGUAUCCCUUGAUAGUUGUGUCUUCUGAUGGUUUAGGAUGGCAGUUUGUGUCCGGAAAUUUGACCGACACACCUAACUUUGACUACCUGGCUGAGACAGGCGUCUGGGCCAAGAACAUGCUAACGGUGAACCCAACUACAACGUUCCCGACUCAUACCACAUUCGUGACCGGACUUUGGCCCGAAAGCCAUGGCAUCGUCGCUAACGAUUUCUACGACCCACUGUACGAUGAGACGUUUCAUAUCGAGACUGAUUGCACUAACUUUGAUCCGAAAUUCUACAACGAGUCCGAGCCUAUUUGGCUAACUAUGGAAAAAAGGGGGCGAAAAUCAGCCACGUAUUUCUGGCCGUCGAGCACAAGUUAUGAGCGAAGACCGAGUUUCUUUGCUGACCAUGUUUGCUCGGUUAAUUGUUCCAAGUACAAGGGAGAGGAUUUAAAACAGUUAAGAAAAAUUUAUAACGGUUAUCACUGCAAGUUUGAUUGGUUUAAUGACCCUUACUGGAACAGAAUAGAGACUGCGAUCAAAUGGCUCAAAUCAGAACAGCCUCCAGAGCUGUUGCUACUCUACUUUGAGCAAACAGACUACGAUGGCCACAAGUAUGGGCCCAAUAGCAAAGAAUAUCUGCGAUCGGUGGAGACCACGGACAGACACGCGGUAGGCUACCUCAUCACACAGCUCAGGAUGAACGGGUUAUUAGAGAAAGUGAAUCUGAUGGUCUUGUCAGAUCACGGCAUGGUGGAGACGAGCAGCGAGAGACAGAUUGACGUGUUUAGAUACGUCAGCAGCCAUCUGUACCACGAGCCGGGAAUGUGGGUAAAACCGGAGCUGGUGGGAAGCGUUUACAAAGAGCUACAGGGCAUACCGCACGCGAAGGUGUACCUUCGUAAGGAUGUCCCAGAAGAGUACCAUUCCCGCAACAACAGACGAUACCCCCCGCUCUUUCUGGACGUGGAGAUGGGAUGGUCAGAGCGCUACGAAUGGUACAGCAAGUACCACGAAGGGACAUGGACACGGGGGAACCACGGAUGGGCGCCUAACGAAGAGCUCGCAGCACUAUUCUACGCCAGAGGGCCAUCAUUCAAGGAGGGCUACUACGCAAAUAGGUCCCUUCGCGCAGUUGACCUCUACCCUUUAAUGUGCCACCUACUUGAUAUGGAGCCUCUUCCGAAUAAUGGUUCUCUUGACAACAUGAUGGAUUUGCUGAGAGAGCCUGAGCCCGAAACAGUCACGGAGCAGCCAACUGAGAGACUGAAUGUCACGCAAUUUGUUAAUGUCACGGUUUCUAAUGUUACUGCACGUAUUGCAUGCCCAGCACACUGUGCUGGUGUGACCAUUGUGACAGCUAGCGUGACUCUUAUUGUUGUAUUAUUAGCAACUGUAAACAGCUUGUAAGGGCCUAUUUGCACUAGGCAAAAUUUUGUUUGUUUUGUUAAAAAAUGGCCAGGACAAUUUUUGUCGCAGCCGAGCAAUUUCAAAGGUGCAGCUGGCCUGCUCUUGAGCACGCCAGAAAUAGGCCAAACGUCAAAUCUGACAGGUUUUUUCAAUCAACACCAAGCUUGACUUGAGCAGAAGUUGUUGUUCUUGAUAUUUAUAGAAUGAUUUACUACCAAGGCGAUGAGUUGCGCAAAAAUAUUCCGAGAAAGCAUUGUGAUCAAACGUAAACAAACCCUGCAAAUCAGCUUUUUCGCGUGAGAAAUCCGAGUCUAAUUUUGAAUGACGUUUGGGUCGCGUUCGGCUUUUUGUCUGACCUCUAGUGCGAAUGCGAUUUACAAGCCAAUCGAUCGGCCAGGACAAAAUUUGGUUUGCUGUUUGUCCCGGCCAGACAAACUUUGUCCUCCUAGUGUGAUUAGGCCAUAAGGUGCUGCUUUAUGAGCAUCACACAGCAAAAGUAUUUAUUUGCAUCGGCUAAUCGAGCUAAUUUUCUAGAGUUAUAGAGGGAAUUUCGCAUGGAUAUCCAUCAAUGGCGACUGGCGAUGCUGUCAACAAAGAACACGAGACGUUUGGCGUUGCCAAAUAUUCCCAGAAAUUUGUGGCUGCCUGUGGUCAAGUCUCCUCCGAUCUGGAGUGUUUAUUUGCUUGUCAAACUAACCCACAAUGCCUAUCAAGGCGGGUAUACAAAUCAACCCAAUGCCAAUUACGGCGGGUAGUAAAAUAUACCCAAUGCCUAUGGACUGGUGGCGUAUGGGAUUCAAUGAUCAGUCCAAACCCCGUUGCCUGAUGGAUGUAUGGCUUUGGGUAAAGAAACAGCCAAAAAAUUAUACAAUGCUAUACAAAUGCUAUUCAAUGCUAUACAAAUGCCAUUCAAUGUUAUACAAAUGCUAUAUAAAUCUGAAAAUCAGCUGACCCAAUGCCUAACAUGGCGGGAAUAUAAUAUUGAGCCCAAGAUGGGUGGAAAUUUGUUACAAAGGGCCAGUGAGCCUCAUUACAGAUUGCCAAUUAUUGACAACAGUCAAAUCACAACUUUGAAAGCUGCUGUGACCUCAGACUCGUGUAUUUGUUUGACUAAUUGUUAUGUUCAAGAUGCUCUGAAUUUCCAAAUUUAAGAGGAGGCAUGGAUUGCAAUAGUUGCAGCAAGGAAUUUAUUUUACACUUUUCAACGAUAGACUAUAAAUAAAAUAAUGGGGGAUCGGGGAUGUGAAAAGAACG